UGAAAAAAGUCAGAAAAAAAUCUCUAAAUAUCUCUAAAUACAGAAACAAGAGAGUCGUUCAUGUGGCGGUUUGCCUCCCCGUUAAAACUAAUAAAUCGC